CCUACGGGAGGCAGCAGUGGGGAAUCUUGCGCAAUGGGCGAAAGCCUGACGCAGCCAUGCCGCGUGAAUGAUGAAGGUCUUAGGAUUGUAAAAUUCUUUCAGUAGGGACGAUAAUGACGGUACCUACAGAAGAAGCCCCGGCUAACUUCGUGCCAGCAGCCGCGGUAAUACGAAGGGGGCUAGCGUUGCUCGGAAUUACUGGGCGUAAAGGGAGCGUAGGCGGGUUAUCAAGUUGGAGGUGAAAGCCCAGGGCUCAACCUUGGAAUUGCCUUCAAAACUGAUAGCCUAGAGUAUGAUAGAGGUAAGUGGAACUCCGAGUGUAGAGGUGAAAUUCGUAGAUAUUCGGAAGAACACCAGUGGCGAAGGCGACUUACUGGAUCAUGACUGACGCUGAGGCUCGAAAGCGUGGGGAGCAAACAGGAUUAGAUACCCUGGUAGCCCACGCUGUAAACGAUGAUUGCUAGUUGUCGGACGGCAUGCCGUUCGGUGACGCAGCUAACGCAUUAAGCAAUCCGCCUGGGGNGACGUCGCGAGAGUAAACUAACUAAUAGUUAGUUAGUAGNGUUGAGAGNGCGACGGACGACGACGAGGGAGAGG
rnacentral:rRNA from 1 species